rnacentral:tRNA from 1 species
CAAGUAGCAGUUUUUGAAAAUAAUAAUUUUGGAGAUUAUAGAAAAGUAUAUUUAUCUUUUACUUGA